AAUCAACGCUGGCGGCGUGCCUCAGACAUGCAAGUCGAACGCGAAAGUCCCCUUCGGGGGACGAAGUAGAGUGGCGCACGGGUGAGUAACACGUAGGUAAUCCACCUUCGGAUGGGGAAGUAACAACCGGAAACGGUUGCUAAUACCGCAUAAUGCAGCGGCACCUAAUGGUGACAGUUGUUAAAGCGGGGGAUCAAAGACCUCGCGUCUGAAGAGGAGCCUGCGGCGGAUUAGCUAGNGGUUAAGGUAACGGCUUACCAAGGCGACGAUCCGUAGCCGGCCUGAGAGGGCGGUCGGCCACACUGACACUGACAUACGGGUC
rnacentral:rRNA from 1 species